CUCACUGAGGAGGAAAAGCUGCUGAACAGGAGGAUGAUGAAGUACUGGACCAACUUUGCAAGAUAUGGGAACCCCAACAGUGAGGGUCUCCCCUACUGGCCUGAGUUGAUCCAUGAUGAGCAGUACCUGAAGCUGGACAUCUAUCCUGCUGUGGGUCAAGGCCUGAAGGCCAGGAAGCUGCAGUUCUGGACAAAGACUCUGCCUCAGAAGAUCCAGGAGCUAAAGGGGGCUCAGGCCAACCAUGUAGAGCUUUAGUGCCAGUUACAGAAAAGAUGGGUGGAGUUGAGGGAAGAUGUGGACAUCCUGAGAUUAAAAAGUGUGUUUAUUUUACUUUAUUUGUUCCAACACUCACACAAGCAUUUUUAACCUCAGUAUUUGCUCUUUCAUUGUGUAUGACAAACCCUCUGUAUGGUACUCAUACUUCUGGGUACAUUUUAUUAGAAUCAAUAAAUGAUCUCACAACCAUA